rnacentral:rRNA from 1 species
AAGGAGAGUUUGAUCCUGGCUCAGAAGGAACGCUGGCAGCGUGCAUAACACAUGCAAGUCGAACGAUGAAGCAUUCUUCGGAAUGUGGAAGAGUGGCGAACGGGUGAGGAACACGUAAGAAUCUGCCCCUCGGUCGGGGACAACUCUUGGAAACGAGAGCUAAUACCCGAUACGCUGUGGAGUGAAAGAAUUUCGCCGAGGGAUGAUCUUGCGUCUGAUUAGCUAGUUGGUGUGGUAAAGGCAUACCAAGGCGACGAUCAGUAGCUGGUCUGAGAGGAUGAACAGCCACAUUGGAACUGAGACACGGUCCAAACUCCUACGGGAGGCAGCAGUGGGGAAUUUUCCGCAAUGGGCGAAAGCCUGACGGAGCAACGCCGCGUGAGGGAUGAAGGCCUCUGGGCUGUAAACCUCUUUUAUCAAGGAAGAAGAUCUGACGGUACUUGAUGAAUAAGCCACGGCUAAUUCCGUGCCAGCAGCCGCGGUAAUACGGGAGUGGCAAGCGUUAUCCGGAAUUAUUGGGCGUAAAGCGUCCGCAGGCGGCCCUUCAAGUCUGCUGUUAAAAAGUGGAGCUUAACUCCAUCAUGGCAGUGGAAACUGUUGGGCUUGAGUGUGGUAGGGGCAGAGGGAAUUCCCGGUGUAGCGGUGAAAUGCGUAGAUAUCGGGAAGAACACCAGUGGCGAAGGCGCUCUGCUGGGCCAUAACUGACGCUCAUGGACGAAAGCCAGGGGAGCGAAAGGGAUUAGAUACCCCUGUAGUCCUGGCCGUAAACGAUGAACACUAGGUGUCGGGGGAAUCGACCCCCUCGGUGUCGUAGCCAACGCGUUAAGUGUUCCGCCUGGGGAGUACGCACGCAAGUGUGAAACUCAAAGGAAUUGACGGGGGCCCGCACAAGCGG